rnacentral:rRNA from 1 species
UACGUAGGGUGCAAGCGUUGUCCGGAAUUAUUGGGCGUAAAGAGCUCGUAGGCGGUUUGUUGCGUCGGCUGUGAAAUCCCGAGGCUCAACCUCGGGCCUGCAGUCGAUACGAGCAAACUAGAGUGUUGCAGGGGAGACUGGAAUUCCUGGUGUAGCGGUGAAAUGCGCAGAUAUCUGGAGGAACACCGGUGGCGAAGGCGGCAUCCUGGACCGAUAUUGACGCUGAGGCGCGAAAGCUAGGGGAGCAAACGGG